UACGUAGGGGGCAAGCGUUGUCCGGAUUCAUUGGGCGUAAAGAGCGUGUAGGCGGCCAGGUAGGUCGGUUGUGAAAACUGGAGGCUCAACCUUCAGAGGUCGACCGAACCAUCUGGCUAGAGUCCGGGAGAGGAGAGUGGAAUUCCUGGUGUAGCGGUGAAAUGCGCAGAUAUCAGGAAGAACACCCGUGGCGAAAGCGGCUCUCUGGAACGGUACUGACGCUGAGACGCGAAAGCGUGGGGAGCGAACAGGAUUAGAACCUCCGUGUCAGACCAGAUCCAGUCUGUCUGACC
rnacentral:rRNA from 1 species